GCUGGGCGUGGUGGCAUACACCUGUAUUCCCAGGGCCUUGGGAGGCUGAGACAGGAGGAUCUCAGUUCAAAGCCAACCUCAGCAAUGGAGAGGCACUCAGUAAGACCCUGUCUCUA
rnacentral:sRNA from 1 species